rnacentral:rRNA from 1 species
UACGUAGGGUGCGAGCGUUGUCCGGAAUUAUUGGGCGUAAAGAGCUCGUAGGCGGUGUGUCACGUCGGCCGUGAAAACCUGCAGCUUAACUGUGGGCGUGCGGUCGAUACGGGCAUCACUGGAGUUCGGCAGGGGAGACUGGAAUUCCUGGUGUAGCGGUGAAAUGCGCAGAUAUCAGGAGGAACACCGGUGGCGAAGGCGGCUCUCUGGACAGGUACCGACGCUGAGGCACGAAAGCUAGGGGAGCAAACAGG